GCGUUCCUGGAGUGUUUGCCAGCGAGCUGUGGUCCCUGAGCCGAUGUUAUUAAAUCAGGAAUUCCUGAGUCAUCAUCCGGUGAGCAUGUCCGCACGACGGAAAGCCUAUGGGUUGACCGGGUCUUCCACCUUGAACCUUUGGGUUCAAGGGCUAGGCAAGCAGCGGCACUUCCGGGCCUUAU
rnacentral:other from 1 species